CCUACGGGAGACAGCAGUGGGGAAUAUUGGUCAAUGGGCGCUACCCUGAACCAGCCAAGCAGCGUGAAGGAUGACUGCCCUAUGGGUUGUAAACUUCUUUUAUAUGGGAAUAAAGUGCAGUAUGUAUAAUGCUUAGCAUGUACCUUAUGAAUAAGGAUCGGCUAACUCCGUGCCAGCAGCCGAGGUAAUACGGAGGGAGCGAGCGUUGUCCGGAUUUACUGGGUGUAAAGGGUGCGUAGGCGGCCAGACAAGUCAGGUGUGAAAUACCGCGGCUCAACUGCGGGGCUGCACUUGAAACUGUAGAGCUUGAGUGAUGGAGAGGUAAGCGGAAUUCCUAGUGUAGCGGUAAAAUGCGUAGAUAUUAGGAGGAACACCGGUGGCGAAGGCGGCUUACUGGACAUUAACUGACGCUGAGGCACGAAAGCGUGGGGAGUAAACAGGAUUAGAUACCCUAGUAGUC
rnacentral:rRNA from 1 species